AUUGAACGCUGGCGGCAGGCCUAACACAUGCAAGUCGAACGAGUGGCGGACGGGUGAGUAAUGUCUGGGACACUGCCUGAUGGGGGGGGAUAACUACUGGAAACGGUAGCUAAUACCGCAUACCAUCAGAUGUGCCCAGAUGGGAUUAGCUAGGUGGUGGGGUAACGGCUCACCAGGGCGACGAUCCCUAGCUGGUUGGAGAGGAUGACCAGCCACACGGGAACGGGGAAACGGGACAGAUCCCGACGGGAGGCAGCAUUGGGGAAUUGUGCACAUAGGGCGCAAGCUGGAUGAAGACAUGCGGCGGGUAUGAAGAAGGCUUUCGGUUUGAAAAGUACUUUCAGCGAGGAGGCGUUACCAGCAGAGGAAGCACCGGCGAACUCCGUGCCAGCAGCCGCGGUAAUUC
rnacentral:rRNA from 1 species